AGGGACGAGAAGACCCUUAGAAUUUUUUCUAAAAUGAGUGUGUUAUUGAAACCAUUACUUGUAAUGAUUUUAUUGGGGCGAUAAAGAAAUAUGUUAUAACUUUCUUUUCUUGACAUGCCGAUUAUAUUAAGACAGGAUAAAUUACCUGAGGGAUAACAGCAUAAUCUUAAAAAUGAGUUUGUGACCUCGAUGUUGGACUAGGAAACUAACAAGCUAGGCGCUUGUUGUGUGGGUUCUGUUCGAACUUUAAAUCCU
rnacentral:rRNA from 1 species